rnacentral:rRNA from 1 species
UGCGAAGUGCAUGCUCAUCGCCGCCAUGGCGGCCGCGGGAAUUCGAUUAGAGUUUGAUCAUGGCUCAGAUUGAACGCUGGCGGCAUGCCUUACACAUGCAAGUCGAACGGCAGCACGGGGGCAACCCUGGUGGCGAGUGGCGAACGGGUGAGUAAUACAUCGGAACGUGUCCUGUAGUGGGGGAUAGCCCGGCGAAAGCCGGAUUAAUACCGCAUACGCUCUACGGAGGAAAGGGGGGGAUCUUAGGACCUCUCGUUAUAGGGGCGGCCGAUGGCAGAUUAGCUAGUUGGUGGGGUAAAGGCCUACCAAGGCGACGAUCUGUAGCUGGUCUGAGAGGACGACCAGCCACACUGGGACUGAGACACGGCCCAGACUCCUACGGGAGGCAGCAGUGGGGAAUUUUGGACAAUGGGCGCAAGCCUGAUCCAGCAAUGCCGCGUGUGUGAAGAAGGCCUUCGGGUUGUAAAGCACUUUUGUCCGGAAAGAAAACCUCUGGGUUAAUACCCCGGGGGGAUGACGGUACCGGAAGAAUAAGCACCGGCUAACUACGUGCCAGCAGCCGCGGUAAUACGUAGGGUGCAAGCGUUAAUCGGAAUUACUGGGCGUAAAGCGUGCGCAGGCGGUUCGCUAAGACAGAUGUGAAAUCCCCGGGCUUAACCUGGGAACUGCAUUUGUGACUGGCGGGCUAGAGUAUGGCAGAGGGGGGUAGAAUUCCACGUGUAGCAGUGAAGUGCGUAGAGAUGUGGAGGAAUACCGAUGGCGAAGGCAGCCCCCUGGGCCAAUACUGACGCUCAUGCACGAAAGCGUGGGGAGCAAACAGGAUUAGAUACCCUGGUAGUCCACGCCCUAAACGAUGUCAACUAGUUGUCGGGUCUUCAUUGACUUGGUAACGUAGCUAACGCGUGAAGUUGACCGCCUGGGGAGUACGGUCGCAAGAUUAAAACUCAAAGGAAUUGACGGGGACCCGCACAAGCGGUGCAUGAUGUGAUUAAUUCGAUGCAACGCGAAAACCUUACCUACCCCUUGACAUGUAUGGAACCCUGCUGAGAGGUGGGGUGCCGAAGGCAGCCAUAACACAGUGCUGCAUGCUGUCGUCAGCUCGUGUCAUUGAAAUGUGAUAGUCCGCACGAGCGCAAUCCAUGUCCUUAGUUGCCUAACGCC